CUUAACCUCAGAUCAGGCAAG
rnacentral:rRNA from 2 species